CCCCUCUCAGGGUCGCACCUGGAGAGUUUCCAGAACUCUACCAGACUCGGCUAUGGGAGGGAGAGUCAAGCAGAGGCCUGUCCAUUCCAUUCCUGGCUUGGGCAGUGGCUAGAGAGUGGAAGGUCAUCUGCUAUAAGU